rnacentral:rRNA from 1 species
GACGUAGGGGGCCAGCGUUGUUCGGAAUUACUGGGUGUAAAGGGCGCGUAGGCGGUGUGUCAAGUCAGGCGUGAAAGCCCCGGGCUCAACCUGGGAACCGCGCUUGAGACUGGCACGCUAGAGUUCGGGAGAGGAUGGUGGAAUUCCCAGUGUAGAGGUGAAAUUCGUAGAUAUUGGGAAGAACACCGAUGGCGAAGGCAGCCAUCUGGACCGACACUGACGCUGAGGCGCGAAAGCGUGGGGAGCAAACAGG